CUGGAGGUAUCAGAAGUGCGAAUGCUGACAUGAGUAACGACAAAGGGAGUGAAAAACUCCCUCGCCGGAAGACCAAGGGUUCCUGUCCAACGUUAAUCGGGGCAGGGUGAGUCGACCCCUAAGGCGAGGCCGAAAGGCGUAGUCGAUGGGAAACGGGUUAAUAUUCCCGUACUUCUUACUAUUGCGAUGGGGGGACGGAGAAGGCUAGGUGAGCCUGGCGACGGUUGUCCAGGUCCAAGUACGUAGGUGGAUGAA
rnacentral:rRNA from 1 species